rnacentral:rRNA from 1 species
GACGAACGCUGGCGGCGUGCCUAAUACAUGCAAGUCGAGCGAACAGACGAGGCGCUUGCUCCUCUGACGUUAGCGGCGGACGGGAGUGUAACACGUGGAUAACCUCCCUAUAUGACUGGGAUAACUUCGGAAAAGCGGAGCUACUACCGGAUAAUUUCUUCAACCUCAUGGUUCAUUGGAGCAAUACGCUUUUGCUGUCACUUUUACAUGGAUCCGGGCCGCAUUAGCUAGUUGGUAAGGUAACGGCUUUCCCAGGCAACCAUGCGUAGCCGACGUGAGAGAGUGAUAGGCCACACGGGAACUGGGACACGCACAAGACUCCUACGGGAGGCAGCAGUAGGGAAUCUGCCGCAAUGGGCGAAAGCCUGACGGAGCAACGCGGCGUGAGUGGUAAAGGUCUCCGGAGCGGAAAGCUCGGUUAUUGGGGAAGAACAAAUGUGUAAGGAACUAUGCACGGCGUGACGGUAACUGAUCAGAAAGCCACGGCUAACUACGUG